rnacentral:rRNA from 1 species
AUUGAACGCUGGCGGCAGGCUUAACACAUGCAAGUCGAGCGGGGGAAGGUAGCUUGCUACUGGACCUAGCGGCGGACGGGUGAGUAAUGCUUAGGGAUCUGCCUAUUAGUGGGGGACAACAUCUCGAAAGGGAUGCUAAUACCGCAUACGUCCUACGGGAGAAAGCAGGGGAUCUUCGGACCUUGCGCUAAUAGAUGAGCCUAAGUCGGAUUAGCUAGUUGGUGGGGUAAAGGCCUACCAAGGCGACGAUCUGUAGCGGGUCUGAGAGGAUGAUCCGCCACACUGGGACUGAGACACGGCCCAGACUCCUACGGGAGGCAGCAGUGGGGAAUAUUGGACAAUGGGGGGAACCCUGAUCCAGCCAUGCCGCGUGUGUGAAGAAGGCCUUAUGGUUGUAAAGCACUUUAAGCGAGGAGGAGGCUCUUUUGGUUAAUACCCAAGAUGAGUGGACGUUACUCGCAGAAUAAGCACCGGCUAACUCUGUGCCAGCCGCCGCAGUAACAC